rnacentral:tRNA from 1 species
GUCGUCGUGGCCGAGUGGUUAAGGCGACAGACUAGAAUUCUGCUUGGGCUCUGCCCGCACAGGUUCGAAUCCUGUCGGCGACG